ensembl:lncRNA
GAAAACCUGGAAGCAGAGUCACACAUAAUUCAGUAUGAUUCAGCCCACUGAGCCACUCUCCACAGGAAGUAUAAAUAGAGCACAGAAGCUCUGAAAUGGAUUUUAACCACAGAGCCAGAGGAAAUUCUCAAAAGAUCUAUUAUCUUGGUGAUAAGUUCCUCAAGUGGAGCUGGGUCCACAGCUGCCAUUCAAGAGGAAACUGCAGUUUAUAUCAGCAAGUUAUGUGUUUCCUAACAUGCUGCCCAUGUCAUUCUAGCCCCAGUGCCCAUUCAGCAUCAGCCACCAUCAUAAGGGGGUGCCUUCAAGUCUUCCGGACAAACAUGCCUGCCCUCCUGCAGACCCAGGAUUCUAUUCUGCCUCACACAUCCCCAACACAACUGCCAGCUGAGUUCUAAUUGCAGAAUCUUCAUUACCAGGGACGAUUGAAACUAUA